AGUAAAAUUGAAAACUUACCGUAGACAGUAGGUGUGGCAACACAUAAAUCCUACCGAGGUUUUUGAUAAAGCUAAGAAAGGAUCCUCAUGUCUACGGUGGAUCCUUUUAAUAUUUAAGA
rfam:Thermoanaerobacterium saccharolyticum JW/SL-YS485, complete genome.